rnacentral:rRNA from 1 species
AUUGAACGCUGGCGGCAUGCCUUACACAUGCAAGUCGAACGGCAGCACGGGUGCUUGCACCUGGUGGCGAGUGGCGAACGGGUGAGUAAUACAUCGGAACGUACCUUAUCGUGGGGGAUAACGCAGCGAAAGCUGUGCUAAUACCGCAUACGCCCUGAGGGGGAAAGCGGGGGAUCGCAAGACCUCGCGCGAUUAGAGCGGCCGAUGCCUGAUUAGCUUGUUGGUGGGGUAAAAGCCCACCAAGGCGACGAUCAGUAGUUGGUCUGAGAGGACGAUCAGCCACACUGGGACUGGGACACGGCCCAGACCCCUACGGGAGGCAGCAGUGGGGAAUUUUGGACAAUGGGGGCAACCCUGAUCCAGCAAUGCCGCGUGAGUGAAGAAGGCCUUCGGGUUGUAAAGCUCUUUUGUCAGGGAAGAAACACCGGCUCUAACACAGUCCGGGAAUGACGGUACCUGAAGAAUAAGCACCGGCUAACUACGUGCCAGCCGCCGCAGUAA